AGGAGGUGCCGGAGACCCGCGGAGUUACUCGGCCCUCCUCGCUCCAGAAGUGCGCCUUCUGCCAAUCCGAGCGCCUCGCGGGAGUGAUGGACGCGAGCGUGUGACCAAUGGGGAGGAGAGGGCUUCCGCAGCCGGCCUGAGGGGAAGGAGCGGGCGGGCCGGCCUUCCCCUCUCCGCCCGCGCCUCUCCGGGCCCGCCCUCCCCUCCCGCGCUGCUCGGGUCAGUCACGCAAAUAACAGUGUGAGGGCCGGGGCCGCGCGGGGGGGGGGGGGGGGCGGGGGCCCGCUGCUGGCUGCGUGACAGCGAUAGGGACUGGCUGUGCUGCCUACUCCGAUCCGGCAGGAGGAGGCGGCGGCGGAGGCUGGCUCCUUACUCUGCGUGCAGACGGCUGCUGCUGCUGCUGCUGCUCAGCCUCUGCCUGGCGCUGCCGGGGAACCCCUGCGGCCAAAGCCCACUCCCGAGGGACAGCCAGAUUUGGAGUGAAUCAGAUCACGCAGUGCCCACUCUUGGAAACCGCUCCAGGGGAAGUCCGGCGGGGCUGUGCGCUGGGAUCUGAGGAGGCUGGAAGCCGUAGGCGGGAGGCUUGGCCGUGACAUUUGCCCCUUGCUUGCUUGCCUGUUUUCUGGGAAAGUCGGGGUAGGGUGUGGGCAGGUCGAAACAGCUCCUGAAUAUGUCCUGGUUCUUUACUGAAUUUCUGGAAAAGGCACUUCUUAACCUGGUAUGAGCGAAGCUGUAAAUGCAUGUCGAUACCUCAGCUUCUUCCAACCCUCCCUCCCGCACUGCUCUUCCUCCCACUGGCUCACCUUGAACCCUGACGGCAGUGCUCCACAGCACCCACUACUAGAUCUUCUCCUCCCUGCUGAUUCCCAGGAGCUAUGGCUUUUCUCAAUUUCUUGGCUACUGUCCAGCAAUCAUUUUACAGACCUUAACCCUUUCCACACCCUUGUACUUGAAAGUACUGUAACUGUAACCACCAAUAAACCUGAAUGGAGAAGUUCACUAAAGCAAAUACACUGGCAAGAACCCACCUUCUUCCCCACAGGUGCAUUUCUGCACGUUAUUUGAGACUUAAAGACAAUUGCUUCUGUGAAGAAACUAAGGAAAGGCAAAUUAGACGUUGUAUCUCUAUUCAAAUUCACUUAGAAUAGCCGACGUCCCCUUUCCACAAAGGAGUCAUCUGGAGAGACCUAGGAAUAAUUUAGGUUUGGAGUCUUGAAGUGAGCGAAAUCUUUACAUAUGCGCGCGUGUGUGUGUGUAUGUACAUAUAUGUGUAUAUUUCAAAUAUAUAUGAAAUUGAAACCUACAGUGGUCUGGAAUGCAGAAGAGCGAUACUAAGUGAACACAAAGGUUUACUUUGGUCAUAUUGGGACCUUUCUUGAUUAUUGUCAUUUUAGGAUACAGAUCAUUCCCCUGGGCCUGUUAAGACAUACAGCCUGACACUUUUCCCUGUCUGAUUUUAGCCCUACUCCAUGAUUUCUUUCAGUAGUCCUGAGUCCACUUACAAAAAUGAGCUGUACCACAAACUUCUUGUAGCACACAGCUUGUGUAUGUGUUGCCUCUCAGUAUGCUGAAACUCCUUUGGAAUUCCACAGUGCAAGAAGGCCAGUGUCCUCAACCCAAGACAUGAUUUGCAAAAAGUGGACAGUGUUCCCUUAGCCAGAUCACCCUGUGUGUUUCUUAAAGGGAAGACACACCCAAAUUCCUGGGUCUGCUGAGACCUAUUGAGUUAUCAUCUCUGUAGGCUUUACCUGGACAUCUGCUCUUCAAACAAAUAUCCCAGGCCUUGUGGGGAAGGAGUGAUCCCUAAAAAAGAGGAUGAAGCUGGCGAAUAAUCUUCCAUAAAUGACAUGAGCAUACCUCAUAACUACAGCACUAAGAAGUAUGGGCAAGUCAAAUAAAAAUUUUAUAUGUCUGAAAAAAAAUCACUGUAAUUGAUGUUGUCUGUGAAUUGUAAUAUGUGAGAAGCUUACUAGUUUAUGAUCUCAAAAUACACAGAGACAAUUUUUUCUAUGUGGGAACAUUUCAAAAUGCAAAUUUCAAUGUAUUAAUUUCAACAAUUAUAGUGUUACUGUCAUUUUUCUUCCAAACAGUGAGAUGUACUAGUGAUGUACUGGUAGUGUACAAGUGAUGUAGUAGUGAUGUACUAGUAGUGUAAUAGUGAUGUACUAAGGCUGUGAUGGUUAUUUAAAAGACAAAGUACUGUAUGAGAUUUUUGGUGUCUCAAAUAGCUUACAAUCUAUUUGAGAGGCUCAAAAGUACACACAUGCAACAGUAAAACAGGAACCUGAGGAAACGUGUAGGGAGACUUUAAGUGUGCUUGUCAGAGAUAAGCAGAAUUUGGUUCAUUUCUAUCUAGUUUUCCUCUUGCUUAUCUCUACUUUCUAAUCUGUUGUGAUUAUGAGUUACAUGUCUUUUUAAAAAUCUUAUGAAAAAAACCAAACAGUAUGUGAUAAUAAAAGAUUUCCUUUUUAUUGUUAU